rnacentral:rRNA from 1 species
UACAGAGGUCCCAAGCGUUGUUCGGAUUCAUUGGGCGUAAAGGGCGCGUAGGCGGCGCAACAAGUCACUUGUGAAAUCUCCGGGCUUAACCCGGAGCGGCCAAGUGAUACUGUCGUGCUAGAGUGCGGAAGGGGCUACUGGAAUUCUCGGUGUAGCGGUGAAAUGCGUAGAUAUCGAGAGGAACACCUGCGGCGAAGGCGGGUAGCUGGGCCGACACUGACGCUGAGGCGCGAAAGCCAGGGGAGCGAACGGG